UCCUCGAUGGUCUAGUGGUGAUGAUUUCCGCUUGUCACCGCCUUUGGGCAGAACAAGCGCGGGAGACCGGGGUUCGAUUCCCCGUCGGGGAG